rnacentral:rRNA from 1 species
AGCGAACGCUGGCGGCAGGCCUAACACAUGCAAGUCGAACGAAGUCUUCGGACUUAGUGGCGGACGGGUGAGUAACACGUGGGAACGUGCCUUUAGGUUCGGAAUAACUCAGGGAAACUUGGGCAAAUACCGAAUGUGCCCUUGGGGGGAAAGAUUUAUCGCCUUUAGAGCGGCCCGCGUCUGAUUAGCUAGUUGGUGAGGUAAAGGCUCACCAAGGCGACGAUCAGUAGCUGGUCUGAGAGGAUGAUCAGCCACAUUGGGACUGAGACACGGCCCAAACUCCUACGGGAGGCAGCAGUGGGGAAUCUUGCGCAAUGGGCGAAAGCCUGACGCAGCCAUGCCGCGUGAAUGAUGAAGGUCUUAGGAUUGUAAAAUUCUUUCACCGGGGACGAUAAUGACGGUACCCGGAGAAGAAGCCCCGGCUAACUUCGUGCCAGCAGCCGCCGCCGUAA